rnacentral:lncRNA from 1 species
UUCUUCAUUCUCUUAUCUACAAUUAUCAUCUUUUCCAUUUUCAUCUUUUUUCAUCUCAUAAUACUUUUGAAAACAUGAUUUGACCAUCUAUAGAUGUGUCUAUCAAUACCAUGAAAUAUUUAAAACGGUACGCAUGCUGGGUGGAUCGUCCAACAUAUAUCACCAUAAUUUUUUUCCAAAAAAUGUUGGUAAUUCAUUCCCAAUUUUACCCAUGAUUGCAGAGUUAUAAGUUUUCUUUGAGAACAUGCAUUACAUGUAAAUUUGCACGUUUGUAAUUUUUUUUUGUUUUUCAACGUAGCAUCUCUUUAUUUUCAUGUAUAAUACCGCUCAUACCACCACCUCCACCAUCACGAUCUCUCCCCACCAUCGUACUAGUGGUCUUAUAGAUGGGCUUCAGAUUUGAAAAUAUGAAUAUCUGAGGUGCCCACCACCGACAGAAAGAUGAGAUCGAGAAAAGCUUAUCGCUCACAAAAUUCUAAUGUGUGUCUAAACAUCCACAAAUAAAAAGAAAUCUCAAUAAGAAAAUAUAAAAGAACAAAAGAGGGAGCAAUCUUUAUCGUUGUAUGUGUUUGCUUCUAGUUAGGUUAUAAUUAGGAUGGAUGAUUAAAUUAUGUGCAAAAGUUUAUGAGGAGCAGGGUGUCCCCUUGUGUAAUAAAUAAGUAGAAAGUGAUUUAUAAUGUAAAAUACUCUAUUUGUAUAUGAUAUCAAAGCUGUUUUUUUUAACACUGGUCAAAUAUCAAAUACAUCAUUGUAUAAUCUCUAAUUAUGUUACAUAUGAGGAUCAACAAUC